CCUUAAUACAAUGGUCCCUUAAUUUCUUAUCACAGAGCAACAUUUAUUUGGCCAAAUGACCUGAGCCUAAUCAGUUGGGGAUGCCAAACAGAGCCCGGUACUAGAAGGAACCUAAAUUCUAGUUCCAUUCUGCUGCUUAGUGAAAAUGUUUGUUUGGGCAUGUCACUGAGUUCAGUUUUCUCAUCUGGAUGACUUUGAAGUCUCCUCCUAAUUUUAACAGUUUAUGCUCCUGGAACUUGAUCACAGUCUCUUUCCAUCAGCUUUUCUACCUAGGAAAUGAGAAGCUAAAGGAGAAGAAGAGAGAAUCCCAAGAAGUCUGGGCAAAGGGGAAGAAACGUCAAGAGCACCAAGCAGUGUUUCUUUCCUUGGGCUUGGUGUGCCAGCCCUCCACCCGGCUCCACCCUACCCUGGUUCCAUUUCCCCUUCAGCAGCCUCCUUCCUCUCAGUGAAGAACUCCUUUGUGUUGAUGGCCACAAAUGCGACAGAAAAAGAAGCGGGUAAAGGACAAGACAGCUCCGGCAUCAGCCGCAAACUGCAGGGCUUGGCGUCCAGCAAUACCAUGCUGAAAGCAAGCUGCUCCCUGCUUCUGCCUUUCAUGCUGCCUGAGCUGAGCAUCUCACAAAGCCUGCAUUCCAAUCAGCCCAGUCCACCCAGAGGAUUCCUCUGGGAGGCAGGAUCACUUGCCAAAAGUAACUUGCCCAAGAUUUGAUUGAUGGGAAGCCAAAUCGCCGUUUGGCAAUAUGAAAUUGAUGAAUGGACUUUCUGUGAAUUGAGUUUUGGUGAAUUUCCCCAGAAUCCAUGUGCUCAGAACCACAUUCAGAGAAUCAUCACUUAAAAAAGAAAUUCAGGGUGUCCCAAGAGCCUGUUCUAAAGGGAAGGCCGAAGAGGUAGAUAGGGGAGUCACCUGACAUUUAGGACUCACCUACUCUGUUCCAGGAGACUUAUAGACACGAUUUCAUUUCACCCUCCACACCCAGCCCACGAGCUAAGAACCAUUCACUUCAUAUGUGGGAAACCUGAAGCUGGAGAAGUAAGUGGCUUGCUCACCGUUUCUGCCUCCAGAGGUCCAGACCUUUCUUUAUAUCUUACAAUCUCCUUCUGAGUCACUUCUUUCCCCACCUCAGGCCAGGCCAAGGUGAGUGGUCCAGCCAGAGAGAACCCACUCUAGAGACCCACGGAGGCAUGCAGAAGUCAGCAUUUGGACUGUAAUCCUGCAGCUCACCCAUAUCCAGUCCAGGCCUCCGCUUCUUCCAUUUGGCAACCAAACAGUGAAGGAGAAAACUGAUGUUGUGCGAGGGUCUGCUGGGUGACAGGCAUUGUCACACAUACUUGUUUAAUAAUCUCCUCUCCGAGGCCAGGGCUCCCAGCAGUGCAUCAUUCACCCAGGGUUACAUGACUCCCAAGUGACGGUGACAAGUUGCCCCAGCAGUAAUAUCAUUUGCUUUCCUGCCAAUAGCAUUUGUGCCCCAUCUUAAGACUUGUUUAGGUCUGCACCUCCAUGUUACAAGGAAAUAAAUGAAGGCUCAAAGAGGGGCA
rnacentral:lncRNA from 13 species